rnacentral:sRNA from 1 species
GGGGUUGUACUGGUUUCGACAGGGGUUUCGAAGUAGCAGUAGCCAUCCGUGGACUCUGACCACGUUAAAACGGAGAAAUUAAAAUUAAACGCAGAAGAUAAUUACGCGUUAGCAGCCUAAGGGCUGCUCGUCAGGAACGGGAGACUCGCAUACCGUACACCGGCGCCAACCUAUGCGGGAGACUCUGCGGCUUAAGCUUUGCGGUUGCAGAAGAUUUAUGAAGCUACCGAGUCGGGAAGCCUGUUUGCGGGCGUCUUGACGAGGGAAUCCUUAAUACGCAGACUGUGAUGGAAGAAGCUGUUAUGGAAGGGCUUUUGGACGGGGGUUCGAUUCCCCCCAGCUCCAU